rnacentral:rRNA from 1 species
AGGGAGGCGGACGCGUGAGCGCGAGCGGACCCCAAAAACGGCCCCCCAGUUCGGACUGCAGCCUGCAACCCGGCUGCACGAAGCCGGAAUCGCUAGUAAUCGCGGAUCAGCAUGCCGCGGCGAAUACGUUCCCGGGCCUUGUACACACCGCCCGUCACACCAUGAGAGUUUGUAACACCCAAAGCCGGUGGGGUAACCUUUUGGAGCCAGCCGUCUAAGGUGGGACAGAUGAUUGGGGUGAAGUCGUAACAAGGUAGC